GGAGAGGUGGCCGAGUGGUUGAAGGCGCACGCUUGGAAAGCGUGUAUGGCAGCAAUGCUAUCGCAGGUUCGAAUCCUGUUCUCUCCGCCA
rnacentral:tRNA from 2 species